AAUACGGAGGGGGCGAGCGUUAUUCGGAAUCAUUGGGCGUAAAGGGCGCGUAGGCGGCCCCGUAAGUCUUGGGUGAAAGCCCUCGGCUCAACCGAGGAAUUGCCUUGGAUACUGCGGGGCUCGAGGCUGGAAGAGGGCAGUGGAAUUCCCGGUGUAGCGGUGAAAUGCGUAGAUAUCAGGAGGAACACCCAUGGCGAAGGCAGUUCACUGGCAGUCAUCUGACGCUGAGGCGCGAAAGCGUGGGUAGCAAACAGGA
rnacentral:rRNA from 1 species